rnacentral:rRNA from 1 species
UACAGAGGUCUCAACCGUUGUUCGGAUUUAUUGGGCGUAAAGGGUGCGUAGGCGGUCGGGUAAGUCGGAUGUGAAAUCCCAGGGCUCAACCCUGGAACUGCAUUCGAUACUGCCUGGCUAGGGUACUGGAGAGGAGACUGGAAUUUACGGUGUAGCAGUGAAAUGCGUAGAUAUCGUAAGGAAGACCAGUGGCGAAGGCGAGUCUCUGGACAGUUACCGACGCUGAGGCACGGAAGGUCAGGGGAGCAAACGGG